GACGUAGGGUGCAAGCGUUGUCCGGAUUUAUUGGGCGUAAAGAGCUCGUAGGCGGCUUGUUGCGUCGACUGUGAAAACCCGCGGCUUAACCGCGGGCUUGCAGUUGAUACGGGCAGGCUAGAGUUCGGUAGGGGAGACUGGAAUUCCUGGUGUAGCGGUGAAAUGCGCAGAUAUCAGGAGGAACACCGGUGGCGAAGGCGGGUCUCUGGACAGUUCCUGACGCUCAUGCACGAAGGCCAGGGGAGCAAACGGG
rnacentral:rRNA from 1 species